rnacentral:sRNA from 1 species
GUGUACUCACUCAUACACCCGGGUUUUGCGCGUACCGCCCGCAUCCCAUCUGACGGGCGCUUGCUAGGCUUUGUCAGCC